rnacentral:rRNA from 1 species
AGCGAACGCUGGCGGCAGGCCUAACACAUGCAAGCCGAACGAAGUCUUCGGACUUAGUGGCGGACGGGUGAGUAACACGUGGGAACGUGCCUUUAGGUUCGGAAUAACUCAGGGAAACUUGCGCUAAUACCGAAUGUGCCCUUCGGGGGAAAGAUUUAUCGCCUUUAGAGCGGCCCGCGUCUGAUUAGCUAGUUGGUGAGGUAAUGGCUCACCAAGGCUACGAUCAGUAGCUGGUCUGAGAGGAUGACCAGCCACAUUGGGACUGAGACACGGCCCAAACUCCUACGGGAGGCAGCAGUGGGGAAUCUUGCGCAAUGGGCGAAAGCCUGACGCAGCCAUGCCGCGUGGAUGAUGAAGGUCUUAGGAUUGUAAAAUCCUUUCACCGGUGAAGAUAAUGACUGUAGCCGGAGAAGAAGCCCCGGCUAACUUCGUGCCAGCCGCCGCUGUAAUAC